UACGUAGGUGGCAGGCGUUGUCCGGAUUUACUGGGUGUAAAGGGCGUGUAGCCGGGAAGGCAAGUCAGAUGUGAAAUCCGGAGGCUCAACCUCCGAAUUGCAUUUGAAACUGUUUUUCUUGAGUACUGGAGAGGCAGGCGGAAUUCCUUGUGUAGCGGUGAAAUGCGUAGAUAUAAGGAGGAACACCAGUGGCGAAGGCGGUCUGCUGGACAGCAACUGACGGUGAGGCGCGAAAGCGUGGGGAGCAAACAGG
rnacentral:rRNA from 1 species